rnacentral:rRNA from 1 species
AACGAACGCUGGCGGCAUGCCUAACACAUGCAAGUCGAACGAGACCUUCGGGUCUAGUGGCGCACGGGUGCGUAACGCGUGGGAACCUGCCCUUAGGUUCGGAAUAACUCCCCGAAAGGGGUGCUAAUACCGGAUAAUGUCUUCGGACCAAAGAUUUAUCGCCUUUGGAUGGGCCCGCGUUGGAUUAGCUAGUUGGUAGGGUAAAAGCCUACCAAGGCGACGAUCCAUAGCUGGUCUGAGAGGAUGAUCAGCCACACUGGGACUGAGACACGGCCCAGACUCCUACGGGAGGCAGCAGUGGGGAAUAUUGGACAAUGGGCGAAAGGAUGAUCCAGCAAUGCCGCGUGAGUGAUGAAGGCCUUAGGGUUGUAAAGCUCUUUUAACCGGGAUGAUAAUGACAGUACCGGGAGAAUAAGCCCCGGCUAACUCCGUG